AACGAACGCUGGCGGCAUGCCUAACACAUGCGAGUCGAACGAGACCUUCGGGUCUAGUGGCGCACGGGUGCGUAACGCGUGGGAACCUGCCCUUAGGUUCGGAAUAACUCCCCGAAAGGGGUGCUAAUACCGGAUAAUGUCUUCGGACCAAAGAUUUAUCGCCUUUGGAUGGGCCCGCGUUGGAUUAGCUAGUUGGUAGGGUAAAAGCCUACCAAGGCGACGAUCCAUAGCUGGUCUGAGAGGAUGAUCAGCCACACUGGGACUGAGACACGGCCCAGACUCCUACGGGAGGCAGCAGUGGAGAAUAUUGGACAAUGGGCGAAAGCCUGAUCCAGCAAUGCCGCGUGAGUGAUGAAGGCCUUAGGGUUGUAAAGCUCUUUUACCCGGGAUGAUAAUGACGGUACCGGGAGAAUAAGCUCCGGCUAACUCCGUG
rnacentral:rRNA from 1 species